rnacentral:rRNA from 1 species
CCUACGGGAGGCAGCAGUAAGGAAUAUUGGUCAAUGGAGGCAACUCUGAACCAGCCAUGCCGCGUGCAGGAAGAAGGCCCUAUGGGUCGUAAACUGCUUUUGUACCAGAGAAAACCCGAGUACGUGUACUCGGUUGAUAGUAUGGUAAGAAUAAGCAUCGGCUAACUUCGUGCCAGCAGCCGCGGUAAGACGAAGGAUGCAAGCGUUAUCCGGAUUCAUUGGGUUUAAAGGGUGCGUAGGCGGACUGAUAAGUCAGUGGUGAAAUCUCUCAGCUUAACUGAGAAACUGCCAUUGAUACUGUUAGUCUAGAGUAUAGAUGACGUUGGCGGAAUAUGACAUGUAGUGGUGAAAUACUUAGAUAUGUCAUAGAACACCGAUUGCGAAGGCAGCUAACGAAACUAUAACUGACGCUGAGGCACGAAAGUGCGGGGAUCAAACAGGAUUAGAUACCCUGGUAGUCCGCACCGUAAACGAUGAUUACUCGUUGUUGGCAAUAUGACCGUCAGCGACCAAGCGAAAGCGAUAAGAAUCCACCUGGGGAGUACGCCGGCGAACGGUGAAACGUCAAAGAUUAGAGGACGAGAGAGAGCGACGGACGACGACGAGGGAGGGAGG